UACGGGGGGGGCAAGCGUUGUUCGGAAUUACUGGGCGUAAAGGGCUCGUAGGCGGCCAACUAAGUCGGAUGUGAAAUCCCCGGGCUUAACCUGGGAACUGCGUUUGAAACUGGAAGGCUAGAGUGUGGCAGAGGGGGGUGGAAUUCCACGUGUAGCAGUGAAAUGCGUAGAGAUGUGGAGGAACACCGAUGGCGAAGGCAGCCCCCUGGGCUAACACUGACGCUCAUGCACGAAAGCGUGGGGAGCAAACAGG
rnacentral:rRNA from 1 species